GACGAACGCUGGCGGCGUGCUUAACACAUGCAAGUCGAACGGCAAGGCCCUGCUUUUGUGGGGUGCUCGAGUGGCGAACGGGUGAGUAACACGUGAGUAACCUGCCCUUGACUUUGGGAUAACUUCAGGAAACUGGGGCUAAUCCCGGAUCGGAGCUCCUGCUGCAUGGUGGGGGUUGGAAAGUUUCGGCGGUUGGGGAUGGACUGGCGGCUUAUCAGCUUGUUGGUGGGGUAGUGGCUUACCAAGGCUUUGACGGGUAGCCGGCCUGGGAGGGUGACCGGCCACAUGGGGACUGAGAUACGGCCCAGACUCCUACGGGAGGCAGCAGUGGGGAAUAUUGCACAAUGGGCGGAAGCCUGAUGCAGCAACGCCGCGUGCGGGAUGACGGCCUUCGGGUUGUAAACCGCUUUCGCCUGUGACGAAGCGUGAGUGACGGUAAUGGGUAAAGAAGCACCGGCUAACUACGUG
rnacentral:rRNA from 1 species